UAUUACAACUUAGUCGCAUUUCAUUGGAUUUAAUCGAUUUAUUCAAAUAGUCCAAAGCAGUCCAAAUUAUGCAAUGGUGUAGAUCAAAUUAUGCAAUAGAUAGAUCCCAGAUUACCAAAGAAGACUGGACCUCACCAACACUGUACUAGAACGAAGAUAACCGAAGAUCACGCCGCUUUGCCCGCGGUCGCUGUCCCUACUUUUCAUUUUGGCCGUUCUCUGACUCUGAGAUAGGUAUUUUACAGAGAAACAGGAUGGAUGAGGAUGGGCUACGGCAGAGGCAAACAGGCGCUGCCAGAGAUGAUACUGAGCCACUCCUACACUCAAGGACUCAGGCCAGACAGCCAAUGUCAUUUUGGGAAUCCAUCAAGGCCAGCAUGGUGCUAUCUCUUGUAGGGAUAGCUAUCUUCUUUGGUGGUAUCGGACUGCAGUUUUGGAAUGAGGGUCGGGCGGUGGAGCGCGCCAAGGCGCUGUCGGAGGGUCUGAGCAGCGCUGUGCCGCUGAGCGCCCCGCAGCGGCCACUGCCAGAGAACGACGGCCGCCUGGUGCACUUCACGGCGCAGCUGGAGGUGCCGCAACCGCUGACCGAGCCGCGCUACGGCGUGGCUGUGGCCGCCGUCAAGCUGAAGCGGCGCGUCCAGAUGUACCAGUGGGUGGAAGAACAGAGCAGCAGGACAGUGGAAACGGCCGAUGGACAACAAGUGGAGACGUCGUACAAUUACUACAAAACAUGGAAAGACAAACUGGUGGACAGUUCGUCGUUCAACUCGCCGUUCAAUCACGAAAACCCAAAGACGAUGCCGCUCGAGUCUCGGAUCCAGGAGGCGCCCGUGGCGCACCUGGCCGGUUUUCUGGUGACCGAGGAGCUGCGCCAGCUGCUGACGCGCUUCACGGUGUUCGCCUCUGACGAGCGACCGGCCGACCGGAGCAUCAAGCUGCACGGCGACAUCUUCUACCACUGCGACAACAUCGAGUCGCCUGCGGUGGGCGACAUGCGCGUCCAGUUCGCCUACGCUGGGAAGUCGGGAGACACGGUGAGCGUGGUCGGUAAGCAGGAGGGCGACCGUCUGGUGCCGUACCGCACCUCCAACGGCCACCAGCUGCUGCUGCUGCAGCCGGGCCGGCGCACGCACCACGACAUCUUCGCCGACGAGCUGUCGUCGAACCGGGCGCUGACUUGGUGGCUGCGCGGCGCCGGCUGGCUGCUCACAUUCGUCGGCCUCAGCUGCCUCACCAGCCUGCUCAACGUGCUCGUGAGCCGGUUCCCGGUGGUGCGCGAGGUGGUGGCGCUCGGCGUCACCUCGCUCAACUUCAGCGUCUCGGUGGCCGUCUCGCUGGCCACAGUGGCCGUCAGCUGGCUGUGGUUCCGGCCGCUGGUCGGUGUCGGCCUGCUGGUGGCCGCCGCGCUGCCCGUCCUCUGGCGCUGGCGCUGGGCAGACGCCGACCAGUGGGAGCCGCGCCCGCCACGGGUCACCGUCACACGGCCCCGCGGCCUGUUCAGGAGUCAGCGCGCACCGCCCGCCGCAGCCGCAGCCGGAGCCGCCGCCGCCCAGCCGCCGCCGUACGGCUGGAGCGUGCCGUCCUGAUCACGGCGCUGCUGGAGGUCGGUGCCAGUCAUGGGUGCCGUCCUGAUCACGGUGCUGCUGGAGGUCGUUGGUGGAGGGGAGGUCUGUUCUGGGCGGCUGGUGGCGGCAGGGUGCUGUCUCGGUUGGUUUCUCGGGUCCGAAGCAGUAUGACGGGUCGCUGGUUCCCGGUAGGCGCAGGGCCUUAUAGUGAGGUGCGGUAAUGUGUCGUCUAUGCCUUGUCUCGUGUACUGAGUCGUGCAGUGCUAGACAAGUUACGGAAGAACAGCCAAAGAAAGGGCAGUCGAGUUGUUUGUGAUUCCUAGAAACGUAUUUAUAGUGUUUAUACAGCAGCUCUCAAGUGCCAAAUGGGCUUAGUGGUAAGCUCAUAAACGGUUCAUAGAUAGCGAGACGUACUGCAUGUCUAUUGUCGAUAUAUCGAUAAAUCAAGACUUGAAUCUAUUUCAUGUAUGGUUACCUGGCAUAUGGAAUCCAGGCUCUCUUCGCGAUCCUCAGCUUGAUGAACUUUGUUCUGAUAUUACACUUGUAUCAUUAAAUAUUGUGCUCAUUUGCAUCUUUUCACCAUUUGUAUCGUAAAUGCAUAAGCAUUGAGACUGUAAGUCGUUAAUUUUAAGCGUGGGCUUUUUUGUAUACCAAUUACCAACGUCAGACGUUAAACGAUUCCAUGUCGCAGUGGUGGUUAUUUAUUGUCCAAUUUGAGCAUUCAAUACCGUAAGGUAGCCCAAGGUGAGUUGUUUUCCCGUCCUUCAUGCUUGGAUGGGGCCAGUCAAAGGAUGCACGGUUAGUGGUUGUGAUGGGGUAUGGUAUUGCCUCAAUACACCGCAUUCGAAAUGA
rnacentral:misc_RNA from 1 species